GAACGCACAUUGCGCCCUUUGGUAUUCCGAAGGGCAUGCCUGUUCGAGCGUCAUUAUCACCCCUCAAGCCCCGUGCUUGGUGUUGGACGGCUUGGUUGCAUCACCGCGACUCCUCCUAAAGACAAUGACGGCGGCCUGUGGUUCCCCCGGUACACUGAGCUUUUAAUUGAGCACGUAUUGGAUAAGGGCACCCGGGACCCGGUCUUCUCCCUUUACCGGGAAAUUUUUCAAUGGUUGACCUCGGAUCAGGUAGGAAUACGCGCUGAACUUAAG
rnacentral:misc_RNA from 1 species